rnacentral:rRNA from 1 species
CUACGGGCCGCUCCAGUGGGGAAUAUUGCACAAUGGGCGCAAGCCUGAUGCAGCAACGCCGCGUGAACGAAGAAGGUCUUCGGAUCGUAAAGUUCUUUUCUUAGGGAAGAAAAAUGACGGUACCUAAGGAAUAAGCACCGGCUAAAUACGUGCCAGCAGCCGCGGUAAUACGUAUGGUGCAAGCGUUAUCCGGAAUCACUGGGCGUAAAGGGAGCGUAGGCGGUUUUGCAAGUCAGAAGUGAAAGGCUACGGCUCAACCGUGGUAAGCUUUUGAAACUGCAAGACUAGAGUGCAGGAGAGGCAAGUGGAAUUCCUAGUGUAGAGGUGAAAUUCGUAGAUAUUAGGAGGAACACCAGUGGCGAAGGCGACUUGCUGGACUGUAACUGACACUGAGGCUCGAAAGCGUGGGGAGCGAACAGGAUUAGAUACCCUAGUAGUC